rnacentral:RNase_P_RNA from 1 species
GGAGUCGGCCAGACGAUCGCUGCUUCGUCGUUGUCCUUUCGGGGAUACGGGCGGAGGGGAGGAAAGUCCGGGCUCCAUAGGGCAGGGUGCCAGGUAACGCCUGGGCGGCGCAAGCCGACGACUAGUGCAACAGAGAGCAAACCGCCGAUGGCCCGCUUGCGGGAUCAGGUAAGGGUGAAAGGGUGCGGUAAGAGCGCACCGCGCGGCUGGCAACAGUUCGUGGCACGGUAAACUCCACCCGGAGCAAAACCAAAUAGGAACCCACUGGCGCGGCCCGCGUUGGGUUCGGGUAGGUUGCUUGAGACGUACGGCGACGUACGUUCCAGAUGAAUGAUCGUCCUCGACAGAACCCGGCUUAUCGGCUGGCUCCACAU